AGUAACAUUGCUGUGAAUAGAGGCCUCACUGAGCCAUCGGAUUUCAUCAACAAUAUCUUAAUGUGUGUUCCGAAGAUGAACUAAGGUCUUACGGGUGUAGAGCGACAUGAGGGUGAGUAAUUAAUGACAUUAUUUUCAUUUUUGGGUGAACUAACCCUUCAAAAUUAGUUAACAAAAUGAGUUAUAUAACAAUGAACAAUGAAAACUUCUAAACUGUAUUUUUAACAUUAGUUAAUGCACUAAACUAACAUGAAUAUGAACAUUUACAUUAAUUAACAUUAACAAAGGUUUGUUCAUUGUUAGUUUGUCGCAUCUAGUUUUGUUUUUUUUUGUUCAUGUUUCAUGUCUUGAUGCUAUGUUUAUGUGUGUUUAUGUGUAUGCCAUGUGCUCCCUUUUGUCAUGUGAUUCCCUUGUCCUCAUGUGAUCUGCCAUGUGCUCCCCUGUUCAUGUGUUUUGUGUUUCUGUUGGUUCAUUGGUUAAUUGUUCACAGGUGUUCCUUGUUUGUUCAUUAGUUCCUGUGUACUUAAGCCCUCAUGUUUUCCAUGCGUCCUUGUCAAGAUUUGUCUAUGUACCAUUGUUGGCGAGUCAUGUUCACGCCACACGUUUUGGAUUUAGUUCGCCUCCUGUGUCUUUGCCAGGGGAAUCGGACCACAGAAAACUAUGUGGAGGAAUUUUUGUGGACUCUGCUGCCAGUUGGAAUUCAAUGAUACUGCCCUGAAGGAAAAUUUUCACCAUGGACUCAAUGAACCCAUUCGUUCCAUGUUGCCGGGGGGAAAAUUCAUUUUUCCCUGGCCCAGUACAUCGACUAUGCCCUUCUUUUGAGUGGAUCAUCAUUUACUGUGGGAAUUGUGGAUGAGGAGCCCUGCAAUCCCACAGUACCCACCACAUCAGAGUGUCUCCCAAUCGAGUGAAGGGAUUUGUGGAAACUGUGGUUCCUAAUUAUUGUGAUCCAACAUUUGCCUUUGUUUAUGAAAGUAUCACUCCACAAUACAAUAGCAAAAUAUAUAAGUAUAGUAUUUUUAUGUUACAUUAAUCAGUAAUGUAAAUAAACAUGUGCAAACAA